GGGGCUGAUUCUGGAUUCGACGGGAUUUGCGAAACCCAAGGUGCAUGCCGAGGGGCGGUUGGCCUCGUAAAAAGCCGCAAAAAAUAGUCGCAAACGACGAAAACUACGCUUUAGCAGCUUAAUAACCUGCUUAGAGCCCUCUCUCCCUAGCCUCCGCUCUUAGGACGGGGAUCAAGAGAGGUCAAACCCAAAAGAGAUCGCGUGGAAGCCCUGCCUGGGGUUGAAGCGUUAAAACUUAAUCAGGCUAGUUUGUUAGUGGCGUGUCCGUCCGCAGCUGGCAAGCGAAUGUAAAG
rnacentral:tmRNA from 1 species